CAGAUUUAAUCAAUGCAUGGGAAGCUGUUGGCCCAAAGAAACCUCUUCCUCCACUGGAAUGGUUAAAUCUUCCCUCGAGUCCUGAGGGAAAGGUUACUGAAAAUACAGUAAGAAAUAGCAGACCCAGUACCGCUACCGGUCUCAUCCCACCUCGACAAGCACCUGCUGAAAAAUCUCUGCCCGUUUUAAGACGGUCAAACUCUGAUACGUUCCUCAAGUCUUUUGGACAUCAAGACGCAAUAAAAUUACCUGUCACCAACAGAGAAGUUGUUCGCUUUCGUCCUGCCGUUUUCUUUGAUGUCACAUCUUUGCACAGGGAUAGGUGCAUGUCUAAUGAUCACCGUGUUUUGAGUAACAAAGAAAUGUGGGAUAUACCAAGGCAUCUCUUGGCUGGAAAACAUUUGAAAAAUUACACUGGUUCCCUACUUGAUUUAAAACUGAACAGAGACACAAUUGUUUACUUCCAUUUCCACGUAGAAUACAAGAUAUUCAGGGACCUGAAAUCUUCCAAUUUAAUUUUUGAAAGUGCCAUCAGCAGUCGGCGACAGAUUGACAUUUCCGACAGUACGUUCUUUCGAAGUAGUGGUUGGUCUCUCCAACUCUGUCGCUGUAUCGAUUGUUAUGAUGUAUGUCUUUUCUCCCAUCACGAUUCAACUUACGUUCACAAAAAAAUAUCUAGCGAUAAAGCUGGCACUUCGCAGCUGUGUUCGUUUGGUCUUUGUAUAAACGCUCAAAGAAGAAUUAUUCAACUCGUAGACAUUAGUAGGAACCGGCUUUUGGGUACAUUCAUUGAUGUCAACAUUUCGGAUGACGACGUGAUUGCUUUCGGUGUUUACAAUCCAAACCGUCUAGAUGUGACCGUCACCUUGGAAUCUGGUGGUGACAUAAGGAAAAUGCCAUCUGGGAUUCUAGAUGUUGCGUAAAAUGUGUAAAUGAACGUAGCGGUCAAAGUCACUGUCACUUGCAAAUACGUUUAUGAAAAAAUUAUCAUAGUACUAAUUAGCAUAUGUGCAUUUACCUUCCACGUCAAAACUUUUUAAUGCAUUGAAACGCCAUAGCUGUCUUAUGCGGUGUAAUUUUUAAAAUUGUAUGUUUUCAUAAUUAUAUGCACAUAUAUGAUUUCAUAAUUAUGUGGUUCAUAAUUUUAUGUUGUGGUUUCAU